GGGCAUUGAAAUGGCUUCUCGCCUCAUGUGUUUCAUAAAGUUGGCCUUCUGUGAGAAGCUCCGAGAGCAUGAAGGACACUGAUAUGGCUUCUCGCCUGUGCGGGUGCACAGGUGUUUCAUAAGGUUGGCCUUCUGUGCGAAGCUCCGAGAGCAUGAAGAACACUGAAAUGGCUUCUCGCCUGUGUGGGUGCACAUGUGUUUCACAAGGUUGGCCUUCUGUGAGAAGCUCUGAGGGCAUGAAGGGCA
rnacentral:lncRNA from 1 species